CACAGAACUCUCACUAUGGGCUUGAGGCUCAGCUGGUGUUUCCUUGUCUUUAUUUUAAAAGGUGUCCAGUGUGAGGUGCAGCUGGUGGAGACUGGGGAAGGCCUAGUGCAGCCUGGAAAGUCCCUGAAACUCUCCUGUGCAGCCUAUGGAUUCACCUUCAAUGACUAUGACAUGAACUGGGUCUGCCAAGCUCCAGGGAAGGGACUGGAGUGGGUCGCAUACAUUAGUAAUACUGGUGGUACCAUCUACUACACCAAUGCCAUGAAUGGCCGACUCAUCAUCUCCAGGGAGAAUGCCAAGAACACCCUGUUCCUGGAAAUGAGCAGUCUGAAAUCUGAAUAUACUGACAUGUAUUAUUGUGCCAGAAGCACAGUGAUACAAAUUUACUGUGGACUCUGA